rnacentral:rRNA from 1 species
AGGGAAACAGCCCAAACCCAUUUUGUUACGGCAAAGUGGGGGUUGUAGGACCACGACAUGGUAUAUUAAACAGAAGCGGAAUGGCAUGGGAAGGCCAACCAUAGAGCAUGAGAGUUGCGUACGCGUAUAGAAUAAUAACCUAGUGAGUUCCUGAGUACUGCGGGGUCGGAGACGCCCUGUAGGAAUCUGCCGGCACCAUCCGGUAAGGCUAA